CUAAGGUGAAACCGCGAAUGGCUCAUUAAAUCAGUUAUUAUUUACUGGCCGAGACAGUGAUACAUGGAUAACUGUGGUAAUUCUAGAGCUAAUACAUGCAACCGAGCCCCAGUGCCGGCUCUCGGGUCGGCCGGGGCGCUUUUAUUGGCUGAAAACCGAUGACCGCCCUCGUGGCGGUCGUUCUCUGAUGAAUCACAAUAACAUUGUGUGGAUCGUACGGUCUUGUACCGACGACGCGCCUUUCAAAUAUCUGCCUUAUCAGCUCUCGACGGUUUGCUAGUGGCUGACCGUGGCUCUGACGGGUAACGGGGAAUCUGGGUUCGGUUCCGGAGAGGGAGCCUGAGAGAUGGCUACCACAUCUAAGGAAGGCAGCAGGCGCGUAACUUACCCACUCCCAGUUCAGGGAGGUAGUGACAAUAAAUACCUUACAGAGGUCUCGUUAACCGAGAUCUCUCAAACGGAAUGAGUACAACGUGAAUCCUUUAACGAGGAUCGACUGGAGGGCAAGUCUGGU
rnacentral:rRNA from 1 species